rnacentral:rRNA from 1 species
UACGUAGGCAGCAAGCGUUGUUUGGAGUUACUGGGCGUAAAGAGUGCGUAGGCGGUUUCCUAAGUUUGGUGUGAAAUCUCCCGGCUUAACUGGGAGGGUGCGCCGAAGACUGGGGAGCUAGAGGAUGGGAAAGGCAAGCGGAAUUCCUGGUGUAGCGGUGAAAUGCGUAGAUAUCAGGAGGAACACCGGCGG